GGGGGAGGAAGGCAAGUUACUCAACAAAAAGAAAUUAUUAAUCUCACUGCCUAGGAAAUGAAGUGCUCUCCUUUUCAUCAUCAAGUGGGCUGUCACACAAAAUCUUUCUGGAAGCAGCCCAAUACCAUUUGCAGUGCUCUUUUCACUGUCAUGAGAAGCAAGAGACCAUUUUAGUUUGGAUUUAUGUAUCUUUUCUGUGUUCCCUUCUGACUUUUGUCUCCUCCAUCCCAUCACUGGUCUUCCUAAAAGUAACCCUUCCAACUGCCCUUCUACUGUUCUUUAUGGGAACAAACACAAUCUCCUUUCUUGAGGUAGCUGCAACAUGACUGCAAGAGAAGCAAAAGUUGCCCCCCACCCGCUCCCUCCUGCCAAACUUCAUGUGUCUACUCGGUACACGCUGUGUCUGCUGGGCUAGGGUAGGACUGCAAAGCACCGGGCCUUGGGUCUUGGCCUCCAUCGGAUGAACAAUUUCCCGUUGAAGGUUACUCACUUCCUGUUUUCCGUAUUUAGACAAUCUGGGCCUAUUGGGAGCUUUGAUUUGUUGUAAACUUCAGCUGUUUUAAACGUUAAGUUGCAGGAGACUGAGAUAAGGGGAAGGAGGGGGAAAGGCCUAUGGUUAUUGAAUACCAGGACUGUGUUCUCUCUGCAGUGUUCUAGUGACCAUUAGAGCAUGUGAAAGGAAGGUCAGGGGCUGACAGCAUGGGAGAUGGUGAAAGGGCUGCUUCACAAUGGGCCAGGGCUGGAGGCACUGCGUGCAACUGUGUGUGUGCGUGGGGCUCUCCAUGAGUGUGUGUGGUCAGCACUUGGAAUCAGCCAGGGGGAUGCACUCCAAUGACUAAUGGCUCCAGUGUGUAAUUUGUGCCACAAACAGCUGUAUGGAGGUGGUCAGAGCAGUGCAGCAGCUCAACAGCAAAGGCAGGAAGGAGUUUCUAACCUAGAGAGUGCUGUGCCCUUUCCCUGUGCCUAUCAGUACAUACCACAUGCUGACAUUUGUUAGAACUUGCUCUGAAAUUUGCUAGGCUGGAACAAGUUAACACUUGUAUGUAGCUGAUAGGGCAGGUCAUGUCUUCUUUAUGCCUGCUUUGAAAGGGUAAACUGAGGCACAGAGUACUGUAAUUCUGCUUGUUAUCAGAAGUGUGUAUGUGAGGAAAUGGGGUGAGUCUUGGCACCAGUCAGGCAGUGGUCUGCCUCCAGAGAUGUGCCUUUUCAUCAAGAACAUCUUUCCUGUGCUGCUGGAAGUAAUGUUUGGAAAGAAGAAAAUAGUGUGCAGUCCAGAGGGCCUGUGGGCUCAAAGGUUAUGUGAAAAAUUUUGGUCUGUUCCUUUUUGUUCAUCUAGUUCUCUUCUGUGUAUGAUUAACUCUCAAAGUGAUGUGAUUUUACUUCCAAAUUUUUCAAAGAUCCACAAAAAAAACAAACAAACAAAAAAAAAACAAAAACAAAAACAAAAAAAAACACCAGAAAGAAAGAAAAAGAAACUACAAUAAUGGAUUGUAGUUACAAUAGUUAAAUGUAUGUUAAAUGUAGUUAAAUGUAACUACAAUAUUGUAGUUACAAUAAUGGAAACUACAAUGGCUGAAUUAAAGCAGUAUUUUACAGCAAAAUCCAGAGCAGGGAUUGCCUUGAGACCACCCUAGUAUACCCUAGUACUAUAACCUGCCACCAGAAUGCCAAUGUGGGCAAGUGGGAGUGAACUAAAGAACCAGAGAUAAAAGAUCAUAACCAAAUAAACAACAAAACAUGCCAAGUAAAGAAAUUUGCCCUGUACACUCUGCCUGACAGAGAGCGGGCAGGAGCUGAAUCAAGAGCCAGAGGACACUAAAAGCAUUGGGGAAGACUUUUGUGAAGCACUUCCGUGAAGCACUGAAGUGUUUAGAAGAAACAAGGGUCCAUGUUCACACUAUGGCAUUGAUAAGCCCAACCCCAAAUGAUUUACACAGGCUCUUGACCCUCCUGAGCCAGAGUCAACUUUUCCCCAAAUAACUCCCUGCAGUCCAGAGUGCAGAAUCACAGAGAGAGAUGGGUGCAGGAUAUAGGCAAGGACUGUUUUCUGCCUGGUAGAAACCCUGUGUAGGUUGGGUUAACAUUAUAUUUCCCUGAUUCAGAUUUUUAUAGACCAAAAAGAAUUAGUUCCCUCCCUCAGUGGUAUGUUGAAGCCUUUCCCCAAAGGAGGGGUUAGUUCACUAUUGUCUUUCUACCUGCUGGAUGUUUUCUGUGCUGUAUCUCUCACCCUGAAACCACAUUUUGUUCAGAUGCGCUUUCAGUGCUCAGAAAUGCAACUUAGUUCUUACUGCAAAUGCGGGGCAGUUCUGCAGUGUCUCCCAUAAGUUUCCUCUGAUGGGGGUCCUGGACCUCCCAGCAGCACCUCGGUGCAAUGUGAGCCCUGGAUUUAGGACAAGAUCUGGAUGUAACAGGGACACAUCAGACUGAACCAGGGUGGACUGCAAAGCUGGCACCACAUAGAAUUGCAACCAAAGCUGUUCAAGCAAAUGGUGUCUCUGAACUGGCACCAGCUGCCUGCCCUGAUGCUGAGGUUUGAUCUGUUAGACCCAGAGCAGCCUGGUUUGCACUCGUAUCACCAUGCUGUUCUUUAAGAACAGACACUUAAUCUCACUUAGAAAUGUUUACUUGCAAGGACCAGAUGGCCCAGGGAACUGGGCUAAACAAAACAUUUUACUUCUAGGUCAUACACUCUAAUCCAGUCCAGGCUGGUGAUAAAUGAACAUACUCACCUGAUAGCCACUUUUGCCUUCAUUUUCGGUUGUUUUUCAGGCUAAUUUCCAAGGGGAGAUGCCUCACCAUAAAAUAUCCCUCUCUGCUCUGCCACAGUUGGUAGUGAUUUGACUGUCUCCGUGGAGAAGCCAAGGAUCAAAUGCUCCAUGGUGCCAGACUGUUUUCUUUUGCAGCUUGCAGGAACUGCUGAAGCCUCCUCCAGGCAUUGAGGGAUGCACCACCUGUCCUGACAGCCUGAUGGAUUAUGGCCCCAGUUCUGUGAGCUGAUCCAACCAAACCAGCAAACUGAUGGCAGAGAAGCCGCCCCCAGGUAAGCCACUAUCACAACCUGAAUGGGAUGUGUACUAGGCAACCAAAGCAAACAGCUUGAUCGUUCGGUAUUUGAAAGGGAUGUUGUUUGUUCUCCUUUCUCAGCUAUUCAAAGAUGGAGGGAGAGAGGCUGAGUUUAGUUAUAAACCUGUUUUAAACUUGUCUGAAAAAAGAAUCAUGUUUCUUUUUAAAUGAAGCUUACACUGUAUGCUAUAAACUGCUUCUUUUUCUUUUCUUUUUCUUUUUUUUUUUUUUUUUUUUAAUUGUUUGCACUAAGUCUUGCUGAACAAGUUAGAGAGAUGAUUAACUCAUCUGAAAUGAUGCAGGAAGGCCUUGUCCCAGUUGUGUGUUCUUCCUUCAGCUCAUGGAGAGCUGUUGCAACUCCGUGAUAUUCACAAGCAGGACUUCCAACUAGGGCUGGACAGGAGGCUGCAGGGGGAAAGAGAAGCACUGCUAGAAAGGGUUGGAAUUUACACACACACACACACACACAGAAAAAGGAACCCAGGUUAUUUUUUUCCUUAAUGAGUAGAGUUGUCCCCAAGCUGGUUUCCACAGGGGGUCAAAAGAGGAAACUGAAAAUUCAUUAGCAGUUUUCUUGACAAUAUUGUUGCAGCAGCAAUGCCCACCCCUACACAUGGCAGGGUGACUUUGUAAGCCUUUGCUUCACUUUGUAAGGCCCCAAAGGGUUCCUUGUGUGGGUCAAACUCGACUGAGUUUGAAACUUGACUGUGUGAUGAAAGCAGCUGCAAAGUUUUGGUCAUGGAAGAUCUGUUUAGUAAGCACUUUUCUACAUCCUCAUACGGUAGUCCCUGUGCACACCUCCCUGCACCAAGGGCUGCAGCCUUCUUUCCAAAGGCUGCACUGAGCAGCUCCAGGCUGGCCAUCCCCCCUUGCUCCCUUCACGCCACUGACAUUGACAAAUGGCAAGAAACAGGUUUCCAGGUGGAGAAUGUUCUUUGGAGGACUUUCCCUGGUCUAAUACGGGUCUUGCCUUAAAAUCCAUUAAGCAGCUGGCCACUUUUCUAUAUUUACAGUGUUUUUAAAAUGUGUUUUUAAUGUAAAAGCAUUCUUGCAAACACUUUAAUAAAAGAAUCAACACACAAAAAAAAAAUCAAGAGAAACCACAGUUCAUCAUCUACAAUGUUGCUGCCUCAAAAUUUAAACUAGCUUAGAAACUUAUGCGUACUUAACUGCAUGACCUCGCCACCCCAAAACAACACCAAAGAAUGAGCUUUUGUACUGUGCUUCUAAUACUAAAUCAUUAUUUAACUACCUUUUUUUUUGUCCUACCCUGUUAGAUUUUUGAAAUAUCAAUAGACUGCUCUGCAUAAAGUAUAAGCUAAUAAUUCUAUUGGCAACAAUGAUGGUAAUUUUUCCUCUCUCCCUACUAGAAGCAGUCUUUAUGACAUGAAGCAGGGCACAGGUAGUUUCACAAAAAAGGUAUUUAUUAUUCUUAGCAAUAUUCACCUUGAAGGAAUAUGAGGAAAGCAUACACUUUUUACAGACAAUAUAUAAACAUGUUGUACAUAAUUAACAAUAAUUUAGUUCACUAAUCCAAAAAUAAUCAAAAUAAAAAUUAAAAUAAAAACAGAAAAUACUGAAGAAUUUUUUAUGCUGAUACAAGUACAAAAUAAUUUAAAUCUCAACUGCUGUUGUCUAUGCUGCAGUGACUGACAAUAUAUUGCACUUUGUCAACUGUAUAAGUAAUCCCUGUCUUUCACCCACAUCCCUUCUCCUCCACCCAAAUCCUACAGAAAUUUGAGUUGGGUACAAAUAAUAUACAACUGUACCAUUUUAAGAGGUAAAAAGUAAAAAAGACCGAAUUAUUUACCUCAGCAGAUUAAAAAUCCUUAUGAUUUCUCCCAACCAAUUUAGUUCCCCAUUUAUUUCCACUUCUUUACAAAGUGCACCUAUAUGCCUAUGCAGACCAAAAAAAAAAAGGAGGAAAGCAGGAUUUUCAUGGCUGCUUGGUUCUUAAUUAUAAAAUACUAGAAUUACAGGUUUUAAAAAAAUUUACAUACAUCCAUUUUUUGUUUCAUUCUGGUUUUUUCUUUAAAGCAGGACUUUUGCAAUAAAAAUACAAUUUGGCUUGAUCAAAGAAAAAAACCAAAAAAACCCCAAACAAACAAACUAACAAAACAAACAAACAAAAAAACCCCACAACAGCAAAAAACCCAACAACAAAAUAGUUAAAAUUUAAAAAGUAAACUAAAAAGAAGCUUGUCACAGAGUUAAGCUUACGUGGUUUACAUUAUCAAACCCCUCUGUUCAUUGGGGCAUUUUCAUCAGAAGUAUACUUAAAUAUGUACACUGUAUGUUAUAUUGGAGCUUGUAUUUAUGAGAGGCAUCAGAUCAUAACAAUCAAUAGAAUACACUUCACACUGGCAAUAGUUUUGGUCAUUUACGUACAAUAUGGUUUAAUAAUGGAUUUUUUUUUUUUCAUAUAAAA